rnacentral:rRNA from 1 species
UACGUAGGAGGCAAGCGUUGUCCGGAAUUACUGGGGGUAAAGCGCGUGUAGGCGGCAGGCCAAGUCUGUGGUGAAAUCGCUCGGCUCAACCGGGCGAGGUCCAUGGAAACUGGUCAGCUGGAGGACGGUAGAGGUGAGUGGAAUUCCCGGUGUAGUGGUGAAAUGCGUAGAGAUCGGGAGGAACACCCGUGGCGAAGGCGGCUCACUGGGCCGGUCCUGACGCUGAGACGCGAAGGCGUGGGGAGCGAACGGG